rnacentral:rRNA from 1 species
UGGGGAAUAUUGCACAAUGGGGGAAACCCUGAUGCAGCGACGCCGCGUGAGCGAAGAAGGCUUUCGAGUCGUAAAGCUCUGUCCUAUGAGAAGAUAAUGAUGGUAUCAUAGGAUGAAGCCCUGGCUAAUUACGGGCCAGCAGCCGCGGUAAUACGUCUGGGGCGAGCGUUGUCCGGAAUGAUUGGGCGGAAAGGGUACGUAGGUGGUUUUUUAAGUCAGGGGUCAAUGCGUGGGGCUUAACUCCAUUAAGCACUUGAAACUGAAAGGCUUGAGUGAAGGAGAGGAAAGUGGAAUUCCUAGUGGAGCGGUGAAAUGCGUAGAUAUUAGGAGGAAUACCGGUGGCGAAGGCGGCUUUCUGGACUUUUACUGACGCUCAGGUACGAAAGCGUGGGGAGCAAACAGG